rnacentral:rRNA from 2 species
GCCUAAUACAUGCAAGUCGAAGCGAACUGAUUAAGAAGGCUUUGCUUUCUAUGACGUUAGCGGCGGACGGGUGAGUAACACGUGGGCAACCUGCCUGUAAGACUGGGAUAACUUCGGGAAACCGAAGCUAAUACCGGAUAGGAUCUUCUCCUUCAUGGGAGAUGAUUGAAAGAUGGUUUCGGCUAUCACUUACAGAUGGGCCCGCGGUGCAUUAGCUAGUUGGUGAGGUAACGGCUCACCAAGGCAACGAUGCAUAGCCGACCUGAGAGGGUGAUCGGCCACACUGGGACUGAGACACGGCCCAGACUCCUACGGGAGGCAGCAGUAGGGAAUCUUCCGCAAUGGACGAAAGUCUGACGGAGCAACGCCGCGUGAGUGAUGAAGGCUUUCGGGUCGUAAAACUCUGUUGUUAGGGAAGAACAAGUACAAGAGUAACUGCUCGUACCUUGACGGUACCUAACCAGAAAGCCACGGCUAACUACGUGCCAGCAGCCGCGGUAAUACGUAGGUGGCAAGCGUUAUCCGGAAUUAUUGGGCGUAAAGCGCGCGCAGGCGGUUUCUUAAGUCUGAUGUGAAAGCCCACGGCUCAACCGUGGAGGGUCAUUGGAAACUGGGGAACUUGAGUGCAGAAGAGAAAAGCGGAAUUCCACGUGUAGCGGUGAAAUGCGUAGAGAUGUGGAGGAACACCAGUGGCGAAGGCGGCUUUUUUGGUCUGUAACUGACGCUGAGGC